rnacentral:lncRNA from 1 species
UUGGGGUCUAUGAGAUAAAGAAAUCUAUGGGGUUCUAUGGGGUCUAUGGGGUGAGGAGUCUAUGGGGUCUAUGGGGUCUGUGGGAUAAGGAAUCUAUGGGGUCUAUGGGGUCUAUGGGGUGAGGAGUCUAUGGGGUCUAUGGGGUCUAUGGGAUAAGGAAUCUAUGGGGUCUAUGGGGUCUGUGGGGUGAGGAGUCUAUGUGGAUCUAAAUGGGGUACUAUGGGAUAGAGGAAUCUAUGGGGUCUAUUGGGGUUCCCUAUGGUGUGAGG